CAAGUCCAACUGUAACGUAAAGGAUUAGUUCUAUUUUGUAUUUUGUAUCUUGCAUUCAUUAAAGGAAACCUUGUGAUAGAGUCCAUUCUUGUAAGUUUUUGAAGAAUCUGUAUUCUAUACCUAAUUUAGGAAGUAGGAUUUAAUUUAUGAGCGGAGUUGUUGGAUUCAUUUAAGGGGUAAGCUUUACUUACGUAUGUUCUUUUAUGAUGCUUAUAUAAAUAAGUUUUGUUAUGUUUGGAGCUUAGGUAUUGACUAUUGAACAACUUCGAUAUUGAUAACUAUUGAGUAUUGUUAUUCUGGAGUAUUUGUUAUAUAUACAUCACCUAGAGUCGAUUACUUUGAAGCAUCUAUUUGACGGGGUUCUGUAUUAAAAUCUUUCAGGUGAGAAUGCCUCAGAGCAAUAUUAUUAUUCUGACUGAUCCAGAAUCUGAUUUGUCACUGCACCAAAACAGUGUUACUGUACUUCCCAUUCAGGGUGAAUAUUCCCAGGACAAGUUGAUGCUUCAAAGAAUCAGGUCUUACAUUGUAAGAGCACAUUGUAUUGAUAUAUAUAGGUAAAAAAGUUUGAUGUUAACUUAUACUACGGGUAGAAACCCUAAACCUAUAGUCCUAAACCCUAAAAUGCUUUUUAUGGCACUUCAUCUUCUUAUUCCCCUUGCCGCCAGUUUCUUUCUUUUUUUUUUUCUUUUCCAUUUUCUCUCAAACGUAUUUCUUUUAUUUAUUUUUAUUUAACCGAUUGUAGUUCAACCGCGAUUUGUUCCCCUGUUUUUUGAACCGAACCGGUCAGAUAAUCCCUUCCAUUUUUUUAAUCACUUCCUUCUUUAUUUCUUUUAUUUGAUUUUUGCUUUAUGCUUUCAUCAAUCUUUUGAUUUCACUCUUUAUCUUUUAGAUUUUUUUUUCUCACAAUCAUCAACUUAUUUCUUUUAUAAUUUUAUCAUUUUUCUCUCAUCUCAUUUCUUCAUUUUUCUUUGGUUGGGUUGUUAGGUUACAUAAAAAUGGACUAAAAAUGUAUGAAAAAUGAAUUAAAAAUCCAAGAAUUCCGGUUGAACCGGUUCAAAUGGUUCUGGCUUCCGAUUUCAUAAUGAUUCUGAACGGUUCAAUAUUACUAUUUUGAUCAGUAAUUCAGUCGCUUUUGGUUUAAUCGGUCUAACCGGUUGGUUCCAACACCACUGACUUAUAUCGAAUCGGUUGGUUCCAACAACUCUCUUUACUUUGGACAGGUAUGGUCCCUGGACCUGUUUAUGGAAGGACUUAUUUAUGAAUUAAGUUAUUCCAAAAAUCCACUCAAUUUGAGAGAGUUUUAUUAUUAUUAUUAUUAUUUUUAUUUAUGAAAAAACAUACAAUUACAUUAAUUCAAGAGAUUAACAAUAUCACAAGCUCUUGUUGAAGAACCCCUAACAAUUUAUUAGAAGGGUUAUUAGGAGGGUUAUCAAAAGUUUGUAGAUUUGACUUCCAUGUUAGAUCGAUCUUUGCUAACUCGGUUCGUAACUAAAUUUGAUAGAGUUUGAAUAGAAAUAUUAAAUCAUUUAGAAUACAGGUGGAGCUUGUGUUUAAACAUUCAAAGCUCAAUUUUAGUUUCACUUAAUUCGAUUUUAAAUUUUUAAUAUUUUAUCUUUUUGUGUUAUAUAAUUUAUAACAGGAAAAGAAUAAAUUUAUAUUAAAUAUAUAAAUUUAUUUUAUAAUUAUAUAAAAAUUUUAAUAAAUAAAAAAUAUAUAAAAUUAUUAAAUAUUAAAUUAAAAUAAUAUAAAAUUAAAAUGGGCGAAAUUAAAAUGAUUUGAAUUAAUUUUUUUGCAAAUAUGAAUGAAGUAAAAUUUUAAGAUGAAAUAUAUUAAAAUAAUUGAUGCAUCAACAUCGCUAUUCCGCUUAAAGUCUAUAAACCUAAAGAAAAUUGGGAAAAUUCCGCAAGAGGGAAAAAUACUUUUUAACCUUUUUAUAGAACACCGUAAUAACCAUAAAAGAUUGUGGGAAGAGCCACGUGUAGCAAAAAGACCAUUGCUUGCGAGAGCAGCGCACCGUAUCCUCGUCUCCUGCCGCCACUGUUACCCAUCUUCUUCAAGCUUGGCAUACCAUCAAAAUACCCUAUAUGUGGUCUAGUCUCACUAACGGUAGCAUUCGAAUUUUACGUUGUUGCGUUACUCGUCGUCCAACCGUCCCCUCUCAACUUUCCAGGUUCCUUGCUCUACAUCUCCUGGAGAACACAGUCCCCUAUAACACUAUGUCCUCCUCUUUUUCUUCUUUCGCUCAUUCAAAUAGAAGGUAAUCUUCAAAUUUGAGCGCAAAUUCGUAUCAAUAAUCUAAUUUUUAUUCAUUUUGAAUAAAAUUUUCUCUUAUUUUUUAUGGUGGUUUUGGCAGUGGAGGCAGAGGUCAAGAUAUGAAACAUGAUCGAGAAAGAUCUAGAGGCCGUGGCGGCGGCGGCAGCAAGGACAAAAUUGAUGCUCUUGGUCGACUCUUGUAAGCGGCGUUGGACAUUGAAACAUUCUAUCAAUUCUUUUUAUAUAUUUAUUUUAUAUACGAUUAAAUUGAUUUUAUUCAUUAGUGCUUUGUUUUUGGUUUAAUUUCUUUUAGGACACGAAUUCUGCGACAUAUGGCUACUGAACUGAAUUUGAAUAUGCGAAGUGAUGGUUAUGUCAAAGUUGAAGAUUUGCUGAAGCUGAAUAUGAAAACAUUUGCUAAUAUCCCUUUAAGGUCACACACUGUUGAUGAUAUCAAAGAGGUAUAAUUUGUAACAGCAUUUCUUGUCUUUGUUCACUGUUGAAUCCUGAGAAUCCUCUCCUAUUUUGAUUGAAAUUUUCUAUCAUUGCAGCAUGUAACUUUUGUAGUUAAAAUUGAUGAAAAUGGCUUCUUUAAAUACUAUUUGUUGUUUACUUAAAAGCGAUCUUUGAGCUGUUACCAGUAGUAAUUUAGAUUCUUGGUCUCCAAAAUGUUGGUGUACAAUCAUGAGAAGGAAAAUGUUCAUUUUACAGCCAAAAGAAAAUUCAUGGUUUUUAUGUUUAUUGAUUGUAGGCUGUCAGAAAAGAUAAUAAGCAACGGUUUAGCCUUCUUGAGGAAAAUGGGGAGCUUUUGAUACGUGCAAACCAAGGCCACACCGUCACGGUGAUGAAUCUUUUAUAAAAAUUUAUCAAUUUCUUCAUGCUUUAUCUGAAUUUUCACCUCAGAUUAUUCUUAGCUGUUGUUUUCAGCAUCUUUAUUUAUGUCUAUGCACUUCUAAGGAAGAUAUUGUAUGUCAUGUUGGCAGACAGUUGACUCCGAAAGAUUAUUGAAACAAAUCGUUUCAGCUGAUGAAGUGCAAUGUAAGAACAUCUUGUCUCUUAGAUCGAUGGACUUGCUUUAUGUCUUUUAUUAUGCAUAAUCCUCUGGAUUUUCCCUGAGAUGAUAGUUUGCGUACAUGGAACCUAUAAGAGGAAUUUGGAAUCAAUUUUGGAGUCGGGUUUGAAGCGCAUGAAAAGAUUGCAUGUUCACUUCUCAAGUGGCUUGCCGACUGACGGUGAAGUGAUUAGUGGUGAGAUACCAUGAAAUUUCUCUUCACUGGUCCUCUGAACUUUGACAUACGAACUCCUUCAUUUUACUCUUUAUUUUUAAUAUGCCAACUCCGUCUACGUGACAAACUGCUUAGGGGUGUUAUUAUGUCUGUUAUCUGCAUUUCACCAUAGGAUUCAUGCAAAAGAUUAUGAAAGGGGAUUACUAAGAUGCCGAUAUAUAACGUGAAUUUUAAUUGAUAAUGGGAAAUGACAAGCACUAAUCGGAAUAAAUCGAGAUUUAGUGAAUCUAAAUGCUGUAGAGGGCUUACGAUGACUUGUAUCUUUUACCCUCUUCAGGUAUGAGACGAGAUGUUAACGUUUUGAUCUAUCUUGAUGUUAGAAAAGCUUUGGAAGGUAAGCACGCUUGCUUCUUUCAAGUUUCAGUCCAGUGAUGAUUCUAUGAACCGAAGCAAUAACUGCAAGUCAUGUCUUUCUCACUUUUAUUUAGAGUCGUGGCCAAAUAUAUAUCGAUCUGUUCUUGCCAAACUACGGUUCUUAAGUUGUCUUCCCUUGUUUUCUUGAUGACUGCAGAAGGCAUGAAGCUUUACAUUUCAGACAACAAAGUGAUAUUGACUGAGGGCUUUGAUGGGGUGGUACCUGUCAAGUACUUUGAGAAAAUAGAAUCAUGGCCAGAUAGAAAACCUAUACCUUUCUCAAAUGUUUAAAAUUGGAUUAUGAAAUGAUCAGUUUUUUUUUUUUUACUCUCUUUUAAACCUGUGUGAUGACCAAUUUGUAUUGGAUCUGAUAAAAGAUGUUCAUUUUGUUUGAUAUUACAUCUUUGGCAUCCAUUUCUCUCCAACUUUUCAUGCUGUUUAAGGUCGUGAUUUGUUUUUGUUAUAAUUGUGUUUAAGGUAUUAUGACCGUGUUGUGUUUUUGUUUCAUAAUUGUGUUUGAGGAAUUCAUGUUAAUAACUGGAUUUAUAUAAGUUUUGAUAUGUUGAGGGUGUUGAUGUUGUGCUUUAGAUAGUUUUUUGUUCUUGGUGUUCAUAUCCUUUUUCAAAUGUAGGCUUAUUACAUUCAUGUCAGAUGAUGAAAUUUACCUUCUACAAUUUGUAGAUCUGUGUCAUGUUUGUGGUUUUAUUUGACAUAUUUACAACAUGUUUGGUUCAAUGUAAUGGCUAUGCCAUUACAACCCUAUUCCGUGGGCCCACCCUAAACACACCUAUGCAGUAAAUUGUCUAAUUUCUAUUCUGUUUCCUCACCACGGAUAACAGAUUCGGUGUUUAAGGAGCCCUUCACGCUCCCCACUUUGCCCUCAGUUCCUUCUAUAGUCCUCACUUCCAAUUUUUCUGCCAUCUUUUUUCUGCUUUCUUUUUCUUUCUCUCAAUAGAGUUUUUCUUUUCCUUUCUUCCGUUUCUUUUUCUUUAUCUAUACCAUCGAUUGUUGGAAAGAGCAAGAGGGUUCUUAGAGGGGGAAUUGAAAUCUAAAUCGAAAACUGAAAAUGUUGAGGGUAAACCGAGUGAUAAACCGGGCACGAGCUUCGAUUUCAAAUUGUCAAUACCUCCUAAGUCAUGACCCAAAGAUUUCCCCUUCAUCUCCUCAACAUUUCACUUCAAAAUCAUCCAUUCGCUUCUUCGAUAUUUUCAAGGCAAUCCCUUUUUAAUUCUAUUAUUUGAUUUUUCAAGUUAUAGUUCUUUUUAACUUUCUGUCUUGUGUGUGCAGCUUGCAAGCAAGGAAAAAAUCGAGAAAGAACGAGCAAGAAUGUAAGUUUAAAGCUUUGUUUGUUUAUUGAAAUUUUGUUACGUGCUCUUUUUCUCCAUGAAAUUUAAUAUAAAUAAUUGUUUUAAUUUGAUUUAGGGCAGUGCUGAUGAAUUGAAUAGAGGAUAUUUUGAUGAUAUGUCUGAGCUAAAACAACACGGUGGUAAGGUAUUAACUGAUUUGUUCUUUUUAUAUACAUAUAGGCUAUAUCAUUUGCAAAUCUGUUCAAAUUAGUUGAAUUGCAACUGAUUUCUGAGUAAAAUUAAUGUUACUUUCUGUAAACAUUUUAAUUGUUAGUUUUUUUUUUCUGGCAGAUUGCACUGGCAAAUAAUAUUCUAAUUCCGGAAUUGCAGCAAGGAAGUUUCCUGCCAUGGAUGUUAUAUAUUCUGAUGGUAGAAAAUCAAAGCUGCUGAUUGUUUUUGAUGCAAGUGGUGUUGAUGCUAGCAAUUUGGUUGUCCCUGAAGCAUCUUUAGUCUGUCUAUCAUUUAGAGCAAACUCUCAGGUAUGGUUUCCUUUUUCUAUGUUUGUUUUGGAUUAAAUAUGUAUUUCUUAAUGAUGUUAUAAAUCUUCCAUUUUUAUCAUGAUAAGAGAAUGUUGACUAGAUAGUGCAUUGCUUUAAAAUUGUGAUAAGAGGCAUAUCAGCGUCUCCAUGGCAACGGAGGGGUUAGCACUAAAUUGCAAUCAUGAAAACAACAAAAAUAUGAGAAACAAAAGAUGUUGGUUGCUAACUUUUCUUUUCUCUUGUUUCUGGUUAUUGUUGUUGAUGAUGCAUUUUAACUCCUUUUCCUUGUCAGGCUAUGGUCGAUUCUUGGAGCAAGCCUUUUUAUGACUCCUUUAGUGAGUCCAAGAGCGUGCAGCUAUAUGAGGUUCUAUAUUUUUGCUAUUUAACUUUUCAUUCCUUUUUGGCAUGUGUGGUGAAUCAACUAUUCUCAGUUUUCUGUUGCUAGAAAGAACUUAUAGUUACAUCCAUCUGUAGUCAAUAAUAAUAACAAACAAAUAAAACAGCGAACAAGAAUAGAAGAUAACCAUGCUGGUAUGACUUAUGAGUUAUGACCGUCCUAGUUGAGCUUAUAGCUCAUCAGAUCAGCCUAUAAUUAAUAAUGCAGUUGUCCUUGUAUUUACUGUAUUUGAAUGGAAAUUCUUGGCAGCUGAUUUUAUGUUUUAUAUAAGUUAUUUGUUAAAAUACUCGUGUUUGGAAAUUAUUAUGUGUUGCUAAAUGAUAAUAUAUCUAUUAUAUCUUUAAAACUUUGCAGGUAAUAUGGAGAAUGAAGUCAAAGAAACACUUGGAAACGGUUUCACUAGCUAUUCUGCUUCACUAGAGGUCAGUUAGCCAGAUCAUUUAUUCCAACAUAGAUUCCCAUUUAUAAUGUCUUCUCUUUUUUCCUUGUGAUGUAAGGUAUGUAUCGGACACGCUCAUGUUUGAAUACAUGUAUCAAACACAAGUAUUUAAGGAAGAAGAAAAGAAGCCCUUUGUUCUAUAUAUCCUUAUUGAUAAAUAGAAAUAUAAUUUUGUUUUCUCCAAAAUCCCCUAAUUCCACUGCAAAAGAAACCUUACAUGUUCUUUUCUGUUGCUUCAUAAAGGAAGAAUCUCAAAGAUGUUAGAUUCUAGCAAUAUAAAAAGAAUUCAUGUUUUCGAUACCUUCAAUUUGACCUAAUGUUGUUUUGUGAGUAAAGCUACGAACAAUGAUUGUUCUUUCAAGGAUCAAGCUCAACCUUGAAGUAAUCAUAAACAUAGAUUGCUUAGCAAAUGACAUUUUUGUGGAUAUAUUGAUGAGAACUUACAUAUCUAGCCUGGUUUCCACAUUGUAUUGGUAAAUGAUAACUGCAUUUUGUUUUGAGAUUGCUCGGAUAAAAGCCCGAAUUUCUUGAGAUCUGUCGUAAACUAUGAAUUAUGGUACCAUAGAGAAGCUGCUGGUUAAGCCAGAAAAAGCUUAGUCCCACUGCCUGCAAAAUGUUGGAUACAAGUUCUUGCCUGAUCCCCUACUUCUAAAGCUAAAUCUUCUUAAUCAGUUUAUAUUUCUUCAAGAUGCUGUAGCUGACUCAAAAGCUGUUGAGGGAGUACUGUUAUGGAGCAUUGGGAUUUGGUGGACAAAGAAACUAAGCAUAUAAAUUGGCAAUUUCAGGGAAACUUAAAUUGGAAGCAAAGCUUUUUUAUUUCGAGUACAUUGAUAAAGUUAAUUUUUAAUUAAAUAAAUCAAGCUUCAUCCGAAAAAGAAGUAUUUGACUUGUAACACCAAAAAAAAAAAAAAGGUGAGAAAUGAUGCACCUGCAAAGCCCCAACAAUUAAAAAUGGCAGGAAAAAGAAAAGCUCCAACAAACAUUUUUUGUUUCUUUUAGUUGAAAAAAGAAAAAUAAAAAAAAUGCUCUUUUUGUGACUUUUUUUUAAUGAAAAUUGUGUUUAAUACAAUUAAUUAGUUUUAGAUUAUAACACAGGUAAAAAGUUUUAUAUAAAAAUUAUGUCAAUAACAAAUGGAAUUUUAGUUGAAAUCAUAAAAUUGAGAUAACUUGAGAAGCAAUGCAUUCAAAUAAUAGUGUACUAUUUCAAAAUAUAGUAAAUAAUUUUUUUAAAUAUUUUAAUAUAAUUAAAUAUAAAAAUAAAAAAGCAUUUUAACAUAAUUUAAUAUAAAAAUAAUUAUAUUAAGAAUGUUAUUAAAUUAUAUUUAAUAAUAGUUAUAUUAAAAUAUGAUUAAAUUAUUUAUUUUUAUUUUUAUUAAAUUAUAUUUAAUAAUAAUCUUAUUAAAAUUUAAAACCCAUAUCUAAAAAAAUUUUUGUUAAGGGUAUUAUGGUCAUUUUAAUUUUUUUCUUUAUGCUAUUACAUAUCUAUUUCAUUCAACCAAACACAAUAAUACUAUUACAGAUUUAUUCCAUUACAUUCAACCAAACAAUUGAAUUACUGAUUACAGCUCUAUUCCAUUACAGCUUUAUUCUAUUACAGCCCUAUUCCAUUUCAGUGAACCAAACGUGUCCUUAAGUAUUCAUAUCAUAUAUUUUUGUUGUAUUCAUAUUCAAAAUUCUCAGCUGCACCACAUUCAUCUCACAUCAUUAAAUUUACAUUUUACCAUUUUUAUAUCCAUAUUAUGUUCGAUUUUAUAUAAUUACAUGAAAUUUUGUGUCCAUAAUUUAAAUUUUAAUUGAUAUAUUUUUUCAUGUUUUAAAUUUUUUUAUAUUGUCUAAAUUAAGAAAAGAAAUGGAAGUUUGGACUUGAUUUCCAUUGUCUUAGUAUGUACCUUUGGGGUGUUAUUUGAUUAAACUUUUUGUGUGCUUAGGCUAUUUUAAUGUGCUUUUGGUCUUUUUCGAUUAAUUAAUAUCAAUGCAUAUUGAUAAAUUCCAACUAGUACAUUGAAGCACAUCAAUAAUGAGAUGUACCAAUAUAAUAAAAAGUAAUGACUUCCUUAGUUUGGUUUUCGAUUUUUGCCUCUAAUAAUCGAAUCAGUCUUCUUGUAACAUCAAACCCAAUAUUAGUUUUAAUUGCAGUUAACAUAAUUAAAUAUAAAUUACAUUUCAUCAAUACACACCAUUUAUCUUAACUUCAUUUAUGAUCUUAAACAACGGCUUAAUUCUAAAAUCAGCUUUUAAAUUAUAUCAUUUUUUCCCUUAAAUACUUAUAUAUAUAUAUAUAUAUAUAUUCUUUUUUGUUAAAAAUAAUAUUUUAACACUCUCAUUUCAUCUCAAAAGUGUAUGAUAUUAAAUAAAAAUAUAUUAUGUAUUAUGUAUUAUAUUCUAUAUAAGAUGAAAUUAACUUGAAUUAAUAAUUUAAAUACUGCUUUUAAUAUUUUAAUUUCACGUGGUCACCAUAAGUGUGGUCUGGGUUUGGUCUGAGUUUGAAUCGCGUUAAUUAUUUCAGUUUUGUCGUGUUAUUGUAAUUAAAAAAAAUUAUUUACAUAAAUGAAAAAUUGAUAUACUUCACUGUAUAUAAAAAAAAAAAUCCCAAUUUUGAUUUUUAAUAAACAAAACGGUGAAAUCGGGUGAACUUAACCGAGACAACACCGCCUAUCAGAAAACAUAUAUCGCGAAAACAGUAAGGAAAAGGAAAACAGUGAACUCUCAAAGAACAUUGAAAUCUCUUUUUCUUAACCUCCCCCCCCCCCAAAAAAAAAAAACCUUUAAUAGCAUCCCGAGGAACCCAAUUGCUUCAGGUUUGGAUUUCUCUUCCAUUUCUUCUCUUUAUUGUCAACUGCAUCUCGUCGUUAAGGUUUUUUUUUUCCUAUUGCUUAUUUUCUGUACUUAGCAUGACAUCUUCUGCUUUGAUUCAAGCUUCCAUUAUUAAUUGUUGGCAUGCUUGUGAAUUUUUUUUUUAUGCCUGAUCUGAAAUUGAUUUACUUCUAGCUAUUGAAAGUUCUAAAAAUAUAGCUCUAAUUUGGAAUCUCUUGUUAUGAUUUGUCUUAAUGCCCACGGAUUCCAAAAUGUUUGAGUUAAUGGUCUUGUAAAUUUAGCUUGAAAAAACCAUGUAUUGGAUCAAUCCAUAAUAAUUCAUUUCUGCAAAUCGUUCGUAAUUCAAUUUUAUUUUUGUUGCAGCCGUUCUUAGGCUAUUCUUUGAGGUGCCAUUUGAAAAAAUUCCUUCCCCCCCCCCCCCCCAAAAUAAUGCAGCAGCUAGCCCGUGAUAAAGUAAGAUAAUUGGCGCUGGAAGAUCAUAUCUAUUGUUGAAAGAUUGAUUAAGGCAUGAAAGCUUGUGUUGGAUGGCGUCGUUUCCUUUUCUGUUUCCCACUUAUUUUCAUCCUUCCUCAUUUAUUUUCUGGUGGUUGUUCCUCUUUGCUACUAAAUCAUUCACUUGUGGGUUCUUCUAAUGUCCUUUUUGUUUGUUAUUGAAGACAUCAAAAUGAUUCUUUUUUUUUUUUCAUGUUUCCAGUUCUGGAAUUGCACCAGAAUCAAGCAGUCACAGAUUCCCCCAAGGAAAACACGAAGAAGUUUGAUGUUCAGCAUUCAUCAGGAGAUGAUGCCCCCAAGAAAAUAACCAAGAAAUUUGAUCACCUGGUUCUUGGACCUGCUGCCGGAGAAGGCUUGCCCAACCGUUUGCAAUGCCGAGGUUUUGACUAUUUUGCUGUUGCUAGCACAUUAAUUUGAUAAAGGGAACAUUAGACUUGCAUUCAUUUCUAAAAACUGUAGAUGCUAUAAUAACUGUUUUAUGUGAUUAGGAGUCUGUUUUGUAGACAUUUGUGGCAUCAAAUUCCUUUUCUUUUUUCUUUCUAAUUUGUUCAUAAAUAUAUGAUGUUCCCAUUGAAAUCAAAUGUUUAAUGAAAGUAAUUUUAUUGAGCCCUCAGAUCCUAAGUUUUGUUGCUGUGGUAUUCUAUGAAUUUCUAAUGUUUUCAAUGUAUUGCAGGAGUUAAAGCUCUCAACAAGACCUAUUUUUCAAACCCUUCUCAUGCCUCUAGUGUCGGCGAUGGUAUUGCCUUUGUGACUGUUUUUACCAUUUAUAACAACUCACCCGAUGCCCUUGCGGAUGGUAAACCAUCAAACUUGGUCACUGUUGGGAAUGCUUCAUAUAGUAAGCCAGAGCGAUCUAUGGCCAUUUUGAAUGUGUUCAUUAAGUUCAUUCAGGUAACUCUUCAGUUAAACAUGAUAGAGCUGCACCUGGCUUCCUUUUGGAAAUGUCUGCUAGAGAUAUCUGUUAAAUUGCUUGAAGUUCAGGACCACAUUCUGUUAUCUAUGAGCUUUUUAACUUAUCUUCCAAUGUACUUUGGUAUUAUUGUAACUAGAGGUGAUAUGGGCUGGGUUUGGGCCCAAACAAAAUUUUAGACUCGUUUGCUAGGCCAGGGCAUGUUUUGGCCCGAAAAAUGGGCAUAAACUUUUACCAAUCCCGGCCCGGAUAAAAUGUCAAAACCCAGGCCCGACCCAAUCUGGCGUGUAUUAAUUUUUUUAAAAAUAUAUAAUACAUAAAAAAUACUAAAAACAUUAAAAUAAAUGUUUUCCAACAAAUUUAAAAAAAUGUAUAUUUAAAUAACAUCAAGAUAGGGUGAAAUGAUAGCAAAAUAGUAAAAAAAAAAAGAAAACAGGAAAGAAAAAGGUAAAAAAAAGCAAAAAGAAGGUGCAGUUUUUUUUUUUUACAUAUUCAGGCUGGGUCGGGCCCGGCCCGGGCAAAAAAUGCCUUACCCAAGGCCCGGUCCACUUUCUGAACGGACCUUGUAUUUUUUUGCUCAAGUCUAUUUUUCGGGCUUAUAUUUAUACCCAAAUCCUCUCACUUAACAAAUCAGGAUAUAGGCUAUAAUCUCUUGUCAUAUUCAAAGUCUUGAGAUCCGCUUAAACACAUAUCUUACCCCAAAAGGGAGUCAGUUACAGUGUUGCUUAUGUCGUUGAUAUCUGGGGACCUAUUAUAGGUACAAAGGCAUAUUUCCAAAGAAUAAAUGAUUCUAAGGAUGAUUAUUUGUAUGAUAUGAUCAUAAAUGAAGAAUAAAAUAAUAUUUAAAAGACAGUCCAAAGAACAAAAUAAUGUAUACUAUGAAAUGGAAAAAAUAAAAGUAUAUUUGCUUAACAAGAUGCAUUUUAUUGAAAUAAAAAAUUCUGGACACAAGCCUAUGUCACAAAAAGAUUCUUAUUGCCUCUAGGCUUAAAGCAACAAGCGUGUUUUGAAUAUUACUUUAGAUUAGCUCUAAAAAAUACAGGGAUCUCUUCCACAGUCCCAUCGUUCAAAACACUCCCAAGUAUGCAAGGAUUUGAAAACUUUUAUUCCCCAAUUCUCUCUUCGGAUAUGUCAUUCAGAUUUUCUGAUAUUCCUUCAUCAUAUUCUCGACUAUCGCGUUUACCCUAUUAUCUUUAUGAUUGGGUAACGAAUUUCCUAUGCCAAGUGGAUUAUCGAAUUUCACAACGCCCACGUCAAUGAGCCUUUCGACUAGCUUUUUGAAAGAAAGGCAAUUCUCUAUCGACUGUCCUACUGUUCCCGCAUGGUAUUCACAUUGAGUACCUGUGACGAAUAAUUUGGGAUAUGAGGGUUGCAACGGCUUUAAGUAGACAGGGGAUAUAACGUAUGCAUCAAAUAAAUUUUUGUACAGCUCCCAGUAUGUUAUUGGAAUAAGAGUAAACCGGAGCUUCUCUGUGCUUUGUUUUGUAUUAGGCUCCUGUCUUGGUAAAGCUUGCUGACCCGUGGCCACUACCUUCGGUUGGUUUACUGUGACUUGUUUUGCAUAACUUAGGCUCACAUUGCUGACUUCAUCUUCUCUCUUCUUCGGGAUGACCUUCUGGUACUUUCCCCAGCCUCUAUCUUUUCGCACCUUAUUACAUUCUCUAUCAUCUUACUAGACAUCACUAUGUCCACAAAACUCCUAGUUGCGAUUCUCAACAUGUGAUUAAUAAAAGGUGCCUUCAAAGUAUUAAUGAAAAACACGGUUGUCUCUUUUUCCAACAGCGGCGGUUGAACGUGCGUAGCAACUUCCCUCCACCUCUGGUAUACUGCCUGAAACUUUUAUUCGACUUCUUCUCCAUGUUUUGUAACGUGAUCCUAUCAGAUGCUAUGUUGGUCACAUGGCCAUAUUACUUCAUGAAAGCCUGUGCUAAAUCUCUUUAUGAUUUAACUUGGGUACGACUCAGCUGAUUGUACCAUUUAGCCGCAGCCCCAGCCAAACUGUCCUGAAAACAGUGAAUCAAUACCUGAUCGUUAUUGCCAUGACCAGUCAUCCUCCGAUAAAACAUCAUAAUAUGAGCCUCAGGGCAGCUGGUUCCAUUGUAUUUUUCAAAUUCUGGCAUUUUGAACUUCGAAGGGAGUACCAAAUCUGGAAUCAGGCUCAACUCCUUAGCAUCCAUUCCGCAAUAAUAAUCAGCACUUUCCAACGCCUUGAAUUUCUACCCCAAUAAUUUAUAUCGGUCUUCCAAUUGCUUUGGAAAUUUCACUAUUUCCUUUUCUGCUUCCACUACCUCAUCGAAGUCAGGGACCGCAGGAUUUGCUCGAUUGUCCUCUGGGUUAGAACACGAGCUCGUCGGGAAAUUUAUCGGUGCCAAAGUACCAGUCUGAUAUUGAAGUUUGAUAUUGACAGACACCCUUUGCGGUGGUACUGGGUAUUUGUUGGGGUGAAACCUGGAGGGUAAGCAAGGAUCUCAUUGUCGUCCUUAGUAUUGGUCACAAGACUAUUCCCUUUUUCCGGUCUUCCAACUAGUAACUGAGUCAAUUGGCUUAUCAUAUUCUUUUUAGAUUUCAGCAUUUGAUCUUUUAUAUCUUGCUAGAUCUUAGCUAAUUGCUCUUGCAUUUGCGCUUGCAUCUGUUCCUGCAUCUUCUUCUGAAUUUGCUCUAAUUUUUUCAGCCUUUGAUCCAUAACUUUAGUUUUUCUUUGUGUGUAGUAGUGAUGUUCCAGGAUAACUAUAACACGAUUACUAGUUAAUUAGGGUUCUUUUGUAAAAUUUAAUGCACAUGAUGCAAUAAUGCAAUGCAAUGCAAAUACAUGGAAUGAAUGCAAAAGAAAGAAAGGCGUUGAUUCUGAAUUCAAUUCUAUUGGAACAACUUUUCUAGAAAACAAAUUCCUUUACAUAAAACGAAUUACAUGUGCGGCAUUGCCCUCAUGUUCCAGGCGAAGACACCGAUUUCCUUUCUUUGUAAAAGUCAAAUCUCGCAAGCUUCCAAUAGAUGCCCCCACUAGCUUUUUUUUCUUGAUCCGGGCCACGAUUUAUUGCUCGCUUAUCCUUGCGAUGUUGGUUAGCUCCUUUAAGAAAGUCGGGACAUGACAGUUUUCUAGUAAUCUUUAUCGACUUGAAUCCUCAAGCAAUAAAACAAAGUCUUGUUUUCCUCCGCGAACUAUCAGCCUUCUUUCGCUGUGUUCACUUGGAUCAUGUUCCGACAACCGUAUUGUCGAAACCAUUUUUUAAAAAAGUUUGAAAAAAACGGGAUCGACUUUAAAACGAGGUAUGGAGUUGCCACCGACCUUUUUUGAGGUGUAAUCGGAUCACCUUGAGGUUGAUCAUUUUAAUAAAAUAUUUGAUUUAUUAAAAUAAUAAUUUUAGGUCUACGAAAAUUGAAAACAAGGGUUCGGGAGUCGGUUACACAUGAGGAAGGGUUAGCACCCCCGUAACGCCCAAAAUUGGUACCAAUUGAUUAUUGAAUGUCCUAUCGUUGAAAAUUUAGAAAAAAUUUAAAAUACGAUUCCUUUAAAAAUGUAUGAACAAUUCGAAUUUGAUUUUAAGGUUCACUUACUCCAAAGAAAUAAAAUACCACAUCCAGCACGUUAGGACACGAUACUUUAAGCCUCCAAAGACUGAGAUCACCUCAUAAUUUCCAAAACACACAACGAAUUCUUAAAAGGGUACUCCGUUAUUUGGAAAAACGGAAAAAAAAAAUCAAAACCCAACACGUUAGGGCACGUUUUCCUGAAUUUCUAAAACACGAAACAUUACCUUGUUUUGAAGAGUUUCCCAAAUAAGCAAUUAUGAAAUCGGCUCAAAAUAUAUUCGCUUGGGUUACUUUAGGUUAAAAAGCAAUCGAUGUUGGGCGAAAAUGCGGGAUUUUAAAAAAAAAUCAUGAUGCAAUAACAAGAAACUAAAACAUAAUUAUAAGCAUGAAACAAUAAUAAGUGAAUACGAAUUGAAAACAAAAAAUAACACAUGAUACACAGAUCUACAUGAAAACUAGGAACAAUAUAACGCAAAACAAAAAACCAUAUGAACAAUAUACAAAGGGAUAACAUAUAUUAGAAUUAAAAAUAGCUUAUAUGAAUAAAAAACGGAUAAUAAAUAUGUGAUUAUUAAAGUAUAUAUUGAAAUGAAUAAUAUGUAACACAAUUUCAAAUGAAACUAAUUGACUUAAUAAAUGAUAUACACAUUUAUAUGAAAAAUAAAAAAUGUAUAUACAACGAUACCAAAGUAAUUAAAAUAAAUAAAAUAUGUAAUUUAAAUCAGGAUCCUCAAAAAAAGCCAAAUUUUAUAUGAAUAAUUUUAAGGAAAAUAUAUAUAUAAUAAGUUUAGAAGAAAGUAUUUACAUAACAGAUUUGAAAAGAAAACAUAUAUUAAAUAGAUUUAAAAGAAACUAUAUAAAUAAAAUAACAUAGAAUUAAUAACGUAUAUGAAAUAAAACUAAUUUCAUCAUAAUUGUACAUUUACAAUAAUAAUAUAUAAAAAUAUUUUAAUUAAAUAUUAUACAAGAACUUAGAAUAAUACUACAUAAAAAUAGAAUUUUAAAAUUAUACUUUACAAUUUAAACAAAUAAAUAACAAAGUAAAAAUUUUAGUAACCCAAAUUGUAUGUUUAAAUAAUUUCCUUAAAAGUUGAAUGCUAAAUAGAUUAAAGAAAUAAUGAAUUAUACAAAUAAAAAACUCAAUUAAAAUAAAAAUAAAAUAAAGGGGAUACUUCAUAAAUAAAACAAAUCAUUAAAAUUAGAAAAGGGAUCGAAGUGCAAUGUGCACAAAUACACAGGGACCAAAAGCACAAAUAAUCCAGACCCCCAAACUCAGCACCCAGGCGCGGGCCAAAUCGAGACAUCGCACAAAUUGUGGGGACAAUUUAAUAAAAUAAAUAAAACACAAAUCGGGGCUAAUUUAAAAACUUGUGCAAAUAGGAAGGACUGACAGCCAAAAUUACGCAUUUAAGGUAAAAUGCGCGGACCAAGUCAAAUGCGCAUACUGAAUCUACUCCCCAAUUCUGUUUCAUUUUCAUUUGAAAUUAAACUUGUUUUAAAACCUUUUUUAUUUUUGCUUUUUAAAAAAACAUUUUAACUUUUAUUCCCUUUUUUAAAGAACCCUAAAUGCUUUGGAGUAUGUCUAACUCCUUCACUUUCCUCUCUGCUUUCCAGCCAAACAACUAGUACCCAAGCCUCAACAUUCCCAAAAUCCGACGACGAACGGAGAGCCCUCCCCACGGCAUUAGCACGACGGUGAGUCUCAUUCUCUCUCACUUAUAUUUUAGCGUAUCCGAUGAAAAUGAAAAAAAGAAAAAAACGAAAUAAAAUAGUAAUAACCACCUUUGAGUAUAUUUCUUGACUGCUUUCUUUUAUUUUUUUAUGUGUAUUUGGUAUUCGAUUUGUAACCCAAAAGAAAUCGUGUUCUAUUUCUCUGAACAACAAAGGAAAAAAACCCCCUAAACAAAUGAAAAUAACCCCCUAAAUAAUUUAAUAAAAAAAUAAAAAAAUAAAAAUCAUAUCUUCCUAUUUUUAACCUUUUACCAAGUCAACAAAUUUUGAUAACUCCUUGGCUUUCUCCAUCUUUUUGAUUUGGCAACAAUUUAACGAUUGUCUUUCAAUUUGGCCAUUUUUUAACUUGUUUCCGACCGAUUGCAUUCUUUAGCUUCGAUUAUUAUUUUUUUGGGGCCUAGACCAAAAUUUGCCUAUUACACUUGUAAUUUUUUUUAAAGAUUUUGGGUUCUUUGUUUGUUAUUUAUUGCUUGAAUGUGCUAGAUUCUUUAUUAUUUGUUUUUUUGAUUGUGCUGAGUUAUUUGUUUUUUUUUAAUAGAGCUGCCUGCAUCUCUCAUUUUUUUUUCUCAUAUUUUCUCAUGAAACAAAAAGAAAAAAAGAAAAAUGAAAAGAUUCAACUACCCAACAACUGAAAAAAGAUAAAAAAAAUGAAUGUGAAAAUCCAAAAAAGAAAAUGAACUCAAGAUUCGAAAUGUAAAACAAAGAGAAGAAAAAAUGUGUUUAGUAGAGAAAAGAAAAGAAAAUGUGUUUAACAAACAGGACAAGAAUUGAAAUCAAUCAUUAAAAGCAAACAUGUUUAGCAGAGAAAAGAAGAGAAAAUGAAAUUGGGAAGAAGAAAGAUCACCGGGAAAAAAAAAGGAAAAAAGGAAAUAGUUUUAAAAAUAUUUUAUUGCAUUUUAAUAUUUUUUAUAUUAUGACCUCAUUUAUACCACGUGUCACAGUCUUAUUCCGUCACCUGUCUUGAAGUUAAUGCCGUUAAGCUUGGAUACCAAACUCGUGGAUAAAAAUUACCAAUCUGGGAGAAAUGAACAAGUUUAGGUACUAAUAUUAUAUUUUUCCCUAAUUUAAAAUAAUAAUUAAAAAAUACUUUUAAAAACCUUUAAAUGAAGAUGUGAACCUUUUAAAAGUUUAGAGAGCAGCCCAACUAACACGAUUAGGCCCAUACCCCAGAAAAAGAAAAAGACACCCUAAAACGCUUUUUAUCAUUUUCUGGCACUUCAUCUUCUUAUUCCCCUUGCCGCCAGUUUCUUUCUUUUUUUUUUUCUUUUCCAUUGUCUUCUUGUAACAUCAAACCCAAUAUUAGUUUUAAUUGCAGUUAACAUAAUUAAAUAUAAAUUACAUUUCAUCAAUACACACCAUUUAUCUUAACUUCAUUUAUGAUCUUAAACAACGGCUUAAUUCUAAAAUCAGCUUUUAAAUUAUAUCAUUUUUUCCCUUAAAUACUUAUAUAUAUAUAUAUUCUUUUUUGUUAAAAAUAAUAUUUUAACACUCUCAUUUCAUCUCAAAAGUGCAUGAUAUUAAAUAAAAAUAUAUUAUGUAUUAUGUAUUAUAUUCUAUAUAAGAUGAAAUUAACUUGAAUUAAUAAUUUAAAUACUGCUUUUAAUAUUUUAAUUUCACGUGGUCACCAUAAGUGUGGUCUGGGUUUGGUCUGAGUUUGAAUCGCGUUAAUUAUUUCAGUUUUGUCGUGUUAUUGUAAUUAAAAAAAAUUAUUUACAUAAAUGAAAAAUUGAUAUACUUCACUGUAUAUAAAAAAAAAAAUCCCAAUUUUGAUUUUUAAUAAACAAAACGGUGAAAUCGGGUGAACUUAACCGAGACAACACCGCCUAUCAGAAAACAUAUAUCGCGAAAACAGUAAGGAAAAGGAAAACAGUGAACUCUCAAAGAACAUUGAAAUCUCUUUUUCUUAACCUCCCCCCCCCAAAAAAAAAAAAACCUUUAAUAGCAUCCCGAGGAACCCAAUUGCUUCAGGUUUGGAUUUCUCUUCCAUUUCUUCUCUUUAUUGUCAACUGCAUCUCGUCGUUAAGGUUUUUUUUUUCCUAUUGCUUAUUUUCUGUACUUAGCAUGACAUCUUCUGCUUUGAUUCAAGCUUCCAUUAUUAAUUGUUGGCAUGCUUGUGAAUUUUUUUUUAUGCCUGAUCUGAAAUUGAUUUACUUCUAGCUAUUGAAAGUUCUAAAAAUAUAGCUCUAAUUUGGAAUCUCUUGUUAUGAUUUGUCUUAAUGCCCACGGAUUCCAAAAUGUUUGAGUUAAUGGUCUUGUAAAUUUAGCUUGAAAAAACCAUGUAUUGGAUCAAUCCAUAAUAAUUCAUUUCUGCAAAUCGUUCGUAAUUCAAUUUUAUUUUUGUUGCAGCCGUUCUUAGGCUAUUCUUUGAGGUGCCAUUUGAAAAAAUUCCUUCCCCCCCCCCCCCCAAAAUAAUGCAGCAGCUAGCCCGUGAUAAAGUAAGAUAAUUGGCGCUGGAAGAUCAUAUCUAUUGUUGAAAGAUUGAUUAAGGCAUGAAAGCUUGUGUUGGAUGGCGUCGUUUCCUUUUCUGUUUCCCACUUAUUUUCAUCCUUCCUCAUUUAUUUUCUGGUGGUUGUUCCUCUUUGCUACUAAAUCAUUCACUUGUGGGUUCUUCUAAUGUCCUUUUUGUUUGUUAUUGAAGACAUCAAAAUGAUUCUUUUUUUUUUUUUUUUUCAUGUUUCCAGUUCUGGAAUUGCACCAGAAUCAAGCAGUCACAGAUUCCCCCAAGGAAAACACGAAGAAGUUUGAUGUUCAGCAUUCAUCAGGAGAUGAUGCCCCCAAGAAAAUAACCAAGAAAUUUGAUCACCUGGUUCUUGGACCUGCUGCCGGAGAAGGCUUGCCCAACCGUUUGCAAUGCCGAGGUUUUGACUAUUUUGCUGUUGCUAGCACAUUAAUUUGAUAAAGGGAACAUUAGACUUGCAUUCAUUUCUAAAAACUGUAGAUGCUAUAAUAACUGUUUUAUGUGAUUAGGAGUCUGUUUUGUAGACAUUUGUGGCAUCAAAUUCCUUUUCUUUUUUCUUUCUAAUUUGUUCAUAAAUAUAUGAUGUUCCCAUUGAAAUCAAAUGUUUAAUGAAAGUAAUUUUAUUGAGCCCUCAGAUCCUAAGUUUUGUUGCUGUGGUAUUCUAUGAAUUUCUAAUGUUUUCAAUGUAUUGCAGGAGUUAAAGCUCUCAACAAGACCUAUUUUUCAAACCCUUCUCAUGCCUCUAGUGUCGGCGAUGGUAUUGCCUUUGUGACUGUUUUUACCAUUUAUAACAACUCACCCGAUGCCCUUGCGGAUGGUAAACCAUCAAACUUGGUCACUGUUGGGAAUGCUUCAUAUAGUAAGCCAGAGCGAUCUAUGGCCAUUUUGAAUGUGUUCAUUAAGUUCAUUCAGGUAACUCUUCAGUUAAACAUGAUAGAGCUGCACCUGGCUUCCUUUUGGAAAUGUCUGCUAGAGAUAUCUGUUAAAUUGCUUGAAGUUCAGGACCACAUUCUGUUAUCUAUGAGCUUUUUAACUUAUCUUCCAAUGUACUUUGGUAUUAUUGUAACUAGAGGUGAUAUGGGCUGGGUUUGGGCCCAAACAAAAUUUUAGACUCGUUUGCUAGGCCAGGGCAUGUUUUGGCCCGAAAAAUGGGCAUAAACUUUUACCAAUCCCGGCCCGGAUAAAAUGUCAAAACCCAGGCCCGACCCAAUCUGGCGUGUAUUAAUUUUUUUAAAAAUAUAUAAUACAUAAAAAAUACUAAAAACAUUAAAAUAAAUGUUUUCCAACAAAUUUAAAAAAAAUGUAUAUUUAAAUAACAUCAAGAUAGGGUGAAAUGAUAGCAAAAUAGUAAAAAAAAAAAAAAGAAAACAGGAAAAAAAAAGGUAAAAAAAAGCAAAAAGAAGGUGCAGUUUUUUUUUUUACAUAUUCGGGCUGGGUCGGGCCCGGCCCGGGCAAAAAAUGCCUUACCCAAGGCCCGGUCCACUUUCUGAACGGACCUUGUAUUUUUUUGCUCAAGUCUAUUUUUCGGGCUUAUAUUUAUACCCAAAUCCUCUCACUUUUCGGGCAGGCUGAGCAAGUCCAACUGUAACGUAAAGGAUUAGUUCUAUUUUGUAUUUUGUAUUUUGUAUCUUGCAUUCAUUAAAGGAAACCUUGUGAUAGAGUCCAUUCUUGUAAGUUUUUGAAGAAUCUGUAUUCUAUACCUAAUUUAGGAAGUAGGAUUUAAUUUAUUAGCGGAGUUGUUGGAUUCAUUUGAGGGGUAAGCUUUACUUACGUAUGUUCUUUUAUGAUGCUUAUAUAAAUAAGUUUUGUUAUGUUUGGAGCUUAGGUAUUGACUAUUGAACAACUUCGAUAUUGAUAACUAUUGAGUAUUGUUAUUCUGGAGUAUUUGUUAUACA
rnacentral:lncRNA from 1 species